AACGAACGCUGGCGGCAUGCCUAACACAUGCAAGUCGAACGAGACCUUCGGGUCUAGUGGCGCACGGGUGCGUAACGCGUGGGAACCUGCCCUUAGGUUCGGAAUAACUCCCCGAAAGGGGUGCUAAUACCGGAUAAUGUUUUCGGACCAAAGAUUUAUCGCCUUUGGAUGGGCCCGCGUUGGAUUAGCUAGUUGGUAGGGUAAAAGCCUACCACGGCGACGAUCCAUAGCUGGUCUGAGAGGAUGAUCAGCCACACUGGGACUGAGACACGGCCCAGACGCCUACGGGAGGCAGCAGUGGGGAAUAUUGGACAGUGGGCGAGAGCCUGAUCCAGCAAUGCCGCGUGAGUGAUGAAGGCCUUAGGGUUGUAAAGCUCUUUUACCCGGGAUGAUAAUGACAGUACCGGGAGAAUAAGCUCCGGCUAACUCCGUG
rnacentral:rRNA from 1 species